rnacentral:rRNA from 1 species
UACGGAGGGGGCUAGCGUUGUUCGGAAUUACUGGGCGUAAAGCGCACGUAGGCGGCUUUGCAAGUUAGAGGUGAAAGCCCGGGGCUCAACUCCGGAAUUGCCUUUAAAACUGCAUCGCUAGAAUUGUGGAGAGGUAAGUGGAAUUCCGAGUGUAGAGGUGAAAUUCGUAGAUAUUCGGAAGAACACCAGUGGCGAAGGCGACUUACUGGACACAUAUUGACGCUGAGACGCGAAAGCGUGGGGAGCAAACAGG